rnacentral:rRNA from 1 species
GAUGAACGCUGGCGGCGUGCCUAAUACAUGCAAGUCGAGCGAACAGACGAGGAGCUUGUUCCUCUGACGUUAGCGGCGGACGGGUGAGUAACACGUGGAUAACCUACCUAUAAGACUGGGAUAACUUCGGGAAACCGGAGCUAAUACCGGAUAACAUGUUGAACCGCAUGGUUCAACAGUGAAAGACGGUCUUGCUGUCACUUAUAAAUGGAUCCGCGCCGCAUUAGCUAGUUGGUAAGGUAACGGCUUACCAAGGCAACGAUGCGUAGCCGACCUGAGAGGGUGAUCGGCCACACUGGAACUGAGACACGGUCCAGACUCCUACGGGAGGCAGCAGUAGGGAAUCUUCCGCAAUGGGCGAAAUCCUGACGGAGCAACGCCGCGUGAGUGAAGAAGGUCUUCGGAUCGUAAAACUCUGUUAUUAGGGAAGAACAAAUGUGUAAGUAACUAUGCACGUCUUGACGGUACCUAAUCAGAAAGCCACGGCUAACUACGUG